rnacentral:lncRNA from 1 species
AAAGCAGUUAAAGAAGAGAAAAAAUAAAGAGGAUGUGUGUGGAGGAUUGUUUUCCUCUUCCCUUUCGCUUGUUCGUUCUUCUUUAACUUCUCUUGUUUUGACAUUGUCUUUGAUACACACGACAAAAAUCAUUUAUAUAUUUCUGUUUGUCCACCGAUUUUAUUUCUUUUUUUUAGGUUUGUAAAAACCUAUUGGGGUUCAGGGGUGGGUUUGAAUCUACCUGAUUUGAGAUAGUACCUUGUAAACAUCGUGUAUGUCGCAUAGUUGAACUUGAAGAGAAUGUUUCAUGUUUUAAGGAAAAGUGGAGAACUACUACUUCUGAUUCCAAGGACAAGCUAUUUGUAAUUUGAUCUUUUAUUUGAUGAAUUUGAUCUUUCAUGUUUGUGUUAUAUCUCGUGCGUGCGUGUUGGGGUUGGGAAAUUCAAAGAACUCAUUGGUUCUACAA